CCUACGGGAGGCAGCAGUCGAGAAUCUUUCACAAUGGGGGAAACCCUGAUGGUGCGACGCCGCGUGGGGGAAGACGGUCCUCUGGAUUGUAAACCACUGUCCCAAGGGACGAAGAUGACGGUACCUGGGGAGGAAGCUCCGGCUAACUACGUGCCAGCAGCCGCGGUAAUACGUAGGGAGCGAGCGUUGUCCGGAAUUACUGGGUGUAAGGGGAGCGUAGGCGGGGAUGCAAGUUGGGUGGCAAAACUCCCGGCUAAACUGGUAGUCGCACUCAAAACUGCAGCUCUUGAGUGAAGUAGAGGCAGGCGGAAUUCCUAGUGUAGCGGUGAAAUGCGUAGAUAUUAGGAGGAACACCAGUGGCGAAGGCGGCCUUCUGGGCUUUUACUGACGCUGAGGCUCGAAAGUGUGGGGAGCAAACAGGAUUAGAUACCCCUGUAGUC
rnacentral:rRNA from 1 species